CUUAAAUUAAGAAUUAUAAUUUUUCCUUCUUGUACUUCGUUUGACAGAAACGUGACUCUAGUAUUGUUAGAUUUGUCAGAGGUCACGCGUUUGAUAAGAUAUUCUAAACUUUUGUUAUUUUUGUACUUAACCGGUUUUGUUUGGUUCCAUAGCGACGGCAAUUAUGAGAAGUAGUUUUUGUACAUAAUUUGAAACAAGAAAAUUAUAUGUUUUUCGCAGGUAGCGAGAGCGUUGGACAGAAACGCGAAAUGCUAAUUUGGAGUUGAAUUAAUGUGCUUAUAUACCAAAAAUACAUUUCGCGCCAAAUAAGUUAGCCAUUAGACAUUCAACAAUAUAAUCAACUGCCCAAGAAUAAGUAAUUUCAGAAUAUAAUAAAGUAAUUUGACUUCAGCAGUAAAACUGAACUGUUAUUGAAAGGAAAUAUUUUCGUCAUCUUUCAAGCACUUUUCCUACACACAAAGGUCAAAUUAUGCGCAAUUUCAUAUACUAGGACUUGCAUUGAAAAGUUCUUGCAACCUUUUCUUUAAGAACCAAUGAGCAUAAAAUCAUGACAACGAAGACUAUUAAACGCUCGUAAAAUCUAGCAUUUUACGGACAUGACACAAUAAGUUGGUGACAUGGAGAAGGAAAUAACGAGUGAAGAUGUCAUAACGGAAAAUCUCCUAAGAAAACAGCGUCGCCAAAAUGCGGGUGGUCGGGAAACGAGGAAUUUUAUUUAUUUAUUUCUCUACAUACAUUUACCAUUACCGGUUACCCCAAUGCGAUAAAUGCGCCUUAAAUGUUACUGGCUAAAUCCUUAUGCACCUUCUUUAGAUCCCACCUAUUUUUGUGAUAGCACCCAAAAUUGCUAUUCCUACCUCAUCUACCACGAUAUCGUUUGUGGUUUGGCUACUUUGGAUGCAAGAAACCUAGAGC